CCAGGUGAGGCUGCAGCUCCUGUGCCAGGCGGUGCAGCACCUGCGGCUGCUGGAAGCUCAGUUUACCUGCGCCAAGGGGGGCGGCUCAGAGCUGUGCCGUGUCCCCAGCACAGGUCACAGGUGUGCCAUGUCCCCAGCACAGGUGUGCCGUGUCCCCAGCACAGGUGACAGCUGUGCCAUGUCCCCAGCACAGGUGUGCCAUGUCCCCUGUCCCCAGCACCGCUGUGCCGUGUCCCCAGCACAGGUGACAGCUGGGGACGGUCACCUGGGCAGGGAAAGGCUCCAGGGACACCUCAGAGCCCUCCCAGUGGCCAAAGGGGCUCCAGGUGAGCCGGGGAGGGACUGGG